rnacentral:lncRNA from 1 species
CCUUCCACUCCAAGCUUCAAACUCCAAAAUUUCUUGGUCAGAAGGUUGUGGCUUGCAUGUAUGAUUUUUCCUUCUCAAAUCAUCUAUAUAGAACAUUAAACAACAAUUACAAUUUCUCUCCCCCCAAUUCUUUACUCUGUCCAAAAAUUAAACCCUUAGAACCCAAUCCUCAAUUCUUCAAAUUUAGUUCUUGCAUGUGUGAUAUUUCAAACCACCAUUAAAGAACCCAUGAGAAAACAAAAGCAAAUUUUGGAACCUCUGUUUCUUUUCUCAACCGAACCAACCCUUCAUCUCCCUCAAUCUUCAUAAAUUCUUUCUUCCUUUCUUGCAUAUGGAUAAAUUCCUCAACCUUAAGCUUCUAGAUCCUAAUAAUUCAAGAUGUUGUCUAGAAUCCGAAUUUGAAGAACAAGCUUCAAGGAGGAACGGAAAUUGAGCUAUGAGCUUGAAGGAAAGCUUCAAGAUUGGAACUGAAAUUACAACCAAGUGGGUUAGUGAAAUUCCAAUUCUAUGAAAUUCUUGUACAAAUUCUGAUGUGGUAGCAAUUGCAAACUGUGGGUGUGUUUGAGAGAAUAAGCUGGAAGCCUUUGAGAAUCAUUGUUGGUUGAGAGUGUGAAUUGGAUGAAGUUUGAUAAAAUUUGUGUUUUGGACAUGUCUUCACUAAAACGGUAACUGCUCCUUCUCUGUAAUUCUGAUUUAAAUUCCACUUGUAGCUAUGGAAAACUAACGCAAUUCCCUUCGAUUUGAGUACCCACUUUUCGUAGAUUUUAGCUUAAUAUUGAGGUCUGUAGACGAGAUGGGAGUUAGGGUACUGUUGCUGCAAUUGUGCAGAAAUCUGGUUUCGGGUUCAGUGUAUUUCCGCUGUAAUUUUGCCUUUUCGCCAAGUCCCGGAACUGUCAAUGACUUAAACCACUCUUGACCAAUGGCUUGAUUAAGUGUUGGACUGAGUAUUGGAAUAAAAAGAAGACCGGAAGCUGGAGUUGAGGAAGAGAUUUCGGAUAAAAGAAAUCAAGGACACAAGUGGGUUCCUUUAGGUUUAGCACUACCAAAUGUAUUUAGUGUUUGGCAAAUUUAUGAUUUAGUUACUGACUAUAGUUUUAGAUGCUAAUGUAAAAGGAGUGUUAGGUACCCUUGUACUCCUAAUGUUCAUCAAACAAUGCUUUGGAGAAUAUUGAAUGUGCAUAAUAAUGUUAGAUCCCUUUCCCUUGAUUAUUAUGCCAUUAGUAGAAUAACACUUCAACAUAUAUAGAAAUUGGUGUACAAUGAGAUAU